rnacentral:rRNA from 1 species
GAUGAACGCUGGCGGCGUGCUUAACACAUGCAAGUCGAACGGAAAGGCCACAGCUUGCUGUGGUACUCGAGUGGCGAACGGGUGAGUAACACGUGGGUGAUCUGCCCUGUACUUCGGGAUAAGCUUGGGAAACUGGGUCUAAUACCGGAUAGGAAUCACAUGUGGGUGUGUGGUUGGAAAGCUUUUGCGGUAUGGGAUGAGCUCGCGGCCUAUCAGCUUGUUGGUGGGGUAAUGGCCUACCAAGGCGUCGACGGGUAGCCGGCCUGAGAGGGUGUACGGCCACAUUGGGACUGAGAUACGGCCCAGACUCCUACGGGAGGCAGCAGUGGGGAAUAUUGCACAAUGGGCGCAAGCCUGAUGCAGCGACGCCGCGUGGGGGAUGACGGCCUUCGGGUUGUAAACUCCCUUCGUCAGGGACGAAGCGAAAGUGACGGUACCUGGAGAAGAAGCACCGGCUAACUACGUG